rnacentral:rRNA from 1 species
GACGAACGCUGGCGGCGUGCUUAACACAUGCCAGUCGAACGGAAGGGCCCUGCGUUUGUGGGGUGCUCGAGUGGCGAACGGGUGAGUAACACGUGAGUAACCUGCCCUUGACUUUGGGAUAACUUCAGGAAACUUGGGCUAAUACCGGAUAGGAGCUCCUGCUGCAUGGGGGGGGGUGGAAAGUUGCGGCGGUUGGGGAUGGACCGGCGGUGUAUCAGCUUGUUGGUGGGGUAGUGGCUUACCAAGGCUUUGACGGGUAGCCGGCCUGAGAGGGUGACCGGCCACAUUCGGACUGAGGUACGGACCAGAGUCCUACGCGAGGGAGCAGUGGAGAAUAUUGAACAAUGGGCGGCAGCCUGAUGAAGCAACGCCGCGUUCGGGAUGACGGCCUUCGGGUUGUAAACCGCUUUCGCCUGUGACGAAGCGUGCGUGACGGUAAUGGGUAAAGAAGCCCCGGCUAACUACGUG